rnacentral:rRNA from 1 species
UACAUAGGGUGCGAGCGUUUAAUCGGAAUUACUGGGCGUAAAGCGUGCGCAGGCGGUUGUGCAAGACAGAUGUGAAAUCCCCGGGCUCAACCUGGGAACUGCAUUUGUGACUGCACGGCUGGAGUGCGGCAGAGGGGGAUGGAAUUCCGCGUGUAGCAGUGAAAUGCGUAGAUAUGCGGAGGAACACCGAUGGCGAAGGCGGCUUCCUGUCUGCGACUGACGCUGAGGCGCGAAAGCUAGGGGAGCGAACGGG